rnacentral:rRNA from 1 species
GACGAACCGUGCGAACGUUAUUCGGAAUCACUGGGCUUAAAGCGCGUGUAGGCGGAUGGGAACGUCGGUAGUUGAAAGCCCCCGGCUCAACCGGGGAAGUGGUGCCGAAACGACCCGUCUAGAGGGACGUAGGGGGACCUGGAACUUCCGGUGGAGCGGUGAAAUGCGUUGAGAUCGGAAGGAACGCCCGUGGCGAAAGCGAGGUCCUGGACGUCUACUGACGCUGAGA